rnacentral:rRNA from 1 species
UAUUUUAAGGUUUAACCUGCCCACUGAUUUUUAAAUGGCCGCAGUAUUUUGACUGUGCAAAGGUAGCAUAAUCAUUAGUUUUUUAAUUGAAAGCUGGAAUGAAAGGUUGGAUGAAAAAAAUUCUGUCUCUAUUUAAUAAAUUGAAAUUUAUUUUUAAGUAAAAAAGCUUAAAUUUUUUAAAAAGACGAGAAGACCCUAUAGAGUUUUAUAAAAAUAAUAUUUUUUAUUUUAGAAUUAAUAAUUAAUUUAUAAAUUUUUAUUUGGUUGGGGUGAUUUUAAAAUUUAAUUAACUUUUAAUAUUUUUAGACAUUUAUUUAUGAAUUUUUGAUCCUUAAAUUAAGAUUAUAAGAAAAAAUUACCUUAGGGAUAACAGCGUUAUUUUUUUUUAGAGUUCAAAUUAAAAAAAAAGUUUGCGACCUCGAUGUUGGAUUAAAAUUUAGUUUUGGUGAAGAAGCUAAAAACCUAGGUCUGUUCGACCUUUAAAAUUUUACAUGAUCUGAGUUUAAACCGGUGUGAGCCAGGUUGGUUUCUAUCUUUUAAAUAUUAAUAAAUUUUAGUACGAAAGGACCAAAUUUAAAAUAUAUUAUUUUUUUUGUGAAUAAAUUUAUUAUUUUGGCAGAAUAGUGCAAUAGAUUUAGAAUCUUUUUAUGUAAUUUAAAUUACAAGUAAUACUUGAUAUUUAAAGAUUUAUUUUUAAUUUUUUUUAGUAUUUUUUUUUUAUUAAUUAUAGUUUUAGUAGGAGUAGCUUUUUUAACUUUAUUAGAACGAAAAGUUUU